UCGCAACACGAACUUGUCGCAGUUGAAAUUCGAGCCAAUACUUCACGAUGAGUUCCAUGCGUCCACCAGCAGGUGGCACUAGUGGCCUGAGUAGCAGACAUAUUUUUUUGUUAUAGAUGGAACGGUAGGGGUUGUUGACUUGUUGUGACUUGUGAGUGGCUGAGUGUGAUUUGUGAGACGCUGCGAACUUGUGAUGAAGAAAACAGUUACACAGUGACCAGGGAUUGUCAUAGUGAAUAAUUCGAGGAAAAUUUGUGGACUUGUUGACUUGUCCAAAUUCGUAAAUCACCACGCAUGGACCGAACUGAAAUGAGAGAAAGAUUAUCUCGUCUGCUUUUGAACUAAAGAAAAGAUAUUUUAAUUUUCUGAAAAAGAAAAACAGCAAAUUGACCAAUUUAUAAGUUUGGUUUGACGUGGGAAAUGUGUUUUUCACCAGCUGGGUUGAAUUUUAGCUGCAUGACGAUAAAGAAAGUCUGAAACCCAAACUUCAAACAACUUAUUUUUUAUAACAUCUCUUGGUUUGUGAUUCUUCUUUCUGCAUAAAAAGUCUACACAAACAGAUAGUCUAACGGAACCUGAACAUCAAUAAAGG